CGCUAUGUGUACCGAUAAUCUGCUAAAUUAAUGUAAAUCGAAUAGUUUCUAGUUGAAGCAGGUCAGAUGAUUUCCCUCAUCCUAUGGCCUCCAGUUUACCGACUGGGCUGUGUAUCAAGUGGCAAAAGUGUUUCUUAACUGUAUCUUAAGACAAGCUUUUUCUCAUUCUUUUGAUUCAAAGUUGAUAUGUUUUCUGCCAUUUCAUUAAUCCCUCUAAUCAUCUAUUUAAUAUUCCACAGCACAAUGUAACUACUGAUUGAUUGAUUGGUUAAUUUGGGAAUAAUGCUCUGAGCACAACCCAGGGAACAACACAAAUUUCCCUUGUCUCCAAGGUGAUCCUAGAUGGAUUACACACAAAACAGACAAAACACAAGAAAACAACAGUAAUCCCUACAGUACAAAACAGCCAAGUAGCUGUCAGGAAAAUGGAGGUGAAUGCAUUGAAGGAGGUGGUUCAGAGAAAUGUGAAGCAAACUGGUAUUUUGACACAGAUGCAAAGAUCCAUUUCCUAUCCCUGACCAUUCUGGGCCUUGAGAAUUCUGUUCCUGAAGACCAUCGUUUUCAACGUGCUGAUGACUCUUCGACUGUGGAUGAGUUAGAAAGCUAUACAUCAGUCCCUCAAAGACAACACAAUAAAUCUUUCCCAGAAGAACUAUUGAUUUGACUACUGACCACGUCUCAUCAUGCUUUGCCAGAAUAAAAUACAAAUAUUGAUGAACUGUAAAUACUUCAGUCAAUUGCAUUGUAAUUACAUUCUGGAUGUAGGAAGUUUUACUCAUACAAAUUUCUUAAUAUUUUGGACUACCAACUAAAUGACUGUCCUCACAGACACAUUGUUGGAAACAAAGAAUCUGAAGAAUUCUACUAAAUAUUCAUGAAAUAAAUUAAUUAUGUGGAAAAAAAAUUCUCCUUGAAGACUUCAAAUCUUACUCAAGUCUGUCUGCUCCCACACACAAAGAAGAAAGUGGAAAAAGCCUUGAUUUUAAAUUCAAACUGUUAUACCUGUUUGUGGAACUUUGUGUGGAUGGCUGCCUAGAAUCAAGUACAUGUGAUCUACAGUAAAUAUAUUCAUCUCAAUCAUUCAUCACUCAGUCAUAAGUCUAAAGCAAAUAUGUGCUGAGGGCAAUUAGAACUGUCUGUAUACUAAAAUACUAAUGUAUAAAUGCUUUAUACAUAAAAAUACAUGCUUACAAUGUUCAUAUUUUGUAAUGUAUACAGUAGAUGUUUAUGAAUUCAAUAAAUCCCAUUUCAUAGUAGCAUAUAUAGUGUACAUACUUUAUGAAUAAUAGUAAUAAUACAUUGUACUCAAGGUUUAUUAAGGACAGUUACAUUAUAUAGUUCCAUCAGUCAAGUUGUUUUCAUGUUAAGUUUGUAGACACCCAAUUUUUGCACAGCACUAAGAACUAAACCCCAAGUUGAUUUAGUCAUUAUAUGUGUCAGGCUUUCCAGGGUCUACCAAGAAGGCUGUGUGAAUGGAAAGUUAAACACAUGUCUGGCAGCUGCCUCUGCUAAGCCUGUGAGCUCCAUAAAUAUAUCCACAACCCACAUCCACACCACCUGUUUUCCAUCCAAAUAAAACCACUUACAUUUCCUUUGUUUUGUUUUACAUUGUCAUCCUGUAUUGUUUUAAUUGAUUACUCAGCUGGUACACUGUAACAUUUGAGUCUGUGUAUUUAACAUACGAGGAUAUUUACCGUCUCUAG